UUAGUCACUGAGUUCUGCCGUGACGCUGCCCUGCAGUCUCCGCUUCCUUGCGCCGCGCACUCCCAUUGCCCGCGUCCCGUGCCCGCCAAGCCAGCGGCACCGCGAGUAGCAGCGCCAGCCGCGUAGCCGCGCCGCAGUCAACCCAGUCAGGACAGCGCCGACCUCGCCCACACCCUCGCCAUGGCCAAGGGGAAAGGUGGCAAAGGAGGAGACGAGAAGAAGGCGGCGGGCGGCGCCAAGGGCGGCGAGAAGGGCGGCAAGGGCGACGGCGGCAAGGCCGCUGGGAAGAAGGGAGGCAAGAAGUAAGGGGCCUGCCCAGCCUGUCCCGGCUGCCCCGGCCGUGGCGCGCGCCGCCCUAACACCAGCCUGGCCGUGGCCGUGACCACAGCCACCCUCGCGCGGGCGCGCUGGCACGGCGCCGUGGACGCGCCGCGCUUUGGCCGCAGGAGCACAACACCGCGCAAGCCGCGCAAGCGCGAGGGGCAAGGCGAGGGGCCGGGCGGGGCUGGGUGCGCGCGCCGUGCGCCUCGCCGGGGCGGCCGGGCCGGGCGGACGCGGCCAGUGGUCAACACGCCUUCGUCUUCGUCUUCCUAUACUCCCGCGCCUCGGCGUCUCCCGAGAUCAUCGUCAUCAUCGUCAUCGUCUUCAUCGACCCCAUAUUCUCGCCGCAUUUCCUCACAUAUUGCGUUCCAGUAGAACAAAUGUAAAAGUAAAAAUGUAAACACUGCGUAGCAGGCCUGAGGGGAGAUGAUUUGUUGAUAUUCUUUUUCUGUCACCCACUAUUUGUUGAGCUUUGUGGUUUGAUUUAGUCUCAUUCUGAAUAGAGGGUUUCGUCGCGGUUACGGUUCCAGUUCAGAGGACCAAUAUUAAUCAAGAUUAACGGCUGUCGUUUCCAGCAUUGAAAUUUCUCCCCUUGUUGUCAUUCUUUAUUUCUUUUGUUCACUUCUUUUCAUUGGUCAGCCUGUGAUCCAUCCUAUCGUUAGAGGAUAAGUAUGUUUUUGUAGAAAUGUCAGAAAUUAGACUGGCAGGAGAGAAUUGCAGUAACGAAAUAAUUUGUUGUUUAUUUGUUCACAUUCUUUGUAAUACUUAUUUUGUAUAUGUUGUACACUGAACUAUGACGUUCGAUAUUCUCUGCUAAAUGAUUCUUUUGCGUUCCAUUAAAAUUCCUAAAAAUGUUUA